rnacentral:tRNA from 1 species
GGGCACAUAGCGUAGGGGUUAUCGCGCUCGCUUUGCAUAUCUGCUUGGUGCGAGAGGUCUCCGGUUCAAAUCCGGAUGUGUCCA